rnacentral:rRNA from 1 species
GAGUUUGAUCCUGGCUCAGAAUCAACGCUGGCGGCGUGCCUAACACAUGCAAGUCGAACGAGAAAGUGGAGCAAUCCAUGAGUACAGUGGCGACCGGGUGAGUAACACGUGACUAACCUACCCUCGAGUGGGGAAUAACUCCGGGAAACCGGAGCUAAUACCGCAUAACAUCGCAAGAUCAAAGCAGCAAUGCGCUUGAGGAGGGGCUCGCGGCUGAUUAGCUAGUUGGUAGGGUAACGGCCUACCAAGGCGGAGAUCGGUAUCCGGCCUGAGAGGGCGCACGGACACACUGGAACUGAAACACGGUCCAGACUCCUACGGGAGGCAGCAGUNGGGAAUUUUGCGCAAUGGGGGAAACCCUGACGCAGCAACGCCGCGUGGAGGAUGAAGUCCCUCGGGACGUAAACUCCUUUCGACCCGGAAGAUACUGACGGUACGGGUGGAAGAAGCACCGGCUAACUCUGUGCCAGCAGCCGCGGUAAUACAGAGGGUGCGAGCGUUGUUCGGAAUUAUUGGGCGUAAAGGGCGCGUAGGCGGUGCGGUAAGUCACCUGUGAAAUCUCCUGGCUCAACUGGGAGCUUGCAGGCGAAACUGCCGUGCUGGAGUGUGGGACAGGUGCGUGGAAUUCCACGUGUAGCGGUGAAAUGCGUACACAUGUGGAGGAACACCAGUGGCGAAGGCGGCUUUCUGGUCUGUAACUGACGCUGAGGCGCGAAAGCGUGGGGAGCAAACAGGAUUAGAUACCCUGGUAGUCCACGCCGUAAACGAUGAGUGCUAAGUGUUAGAGGGUUUCCGCCCUUUAGUGCUGCAGCUAACGCAUUAAGCACUCCGCCUGGGGGGUACGGUCGCAAGACUGAAACUCAAAGGAAUUGACGGGGGCCCGCACAAGCGUGGAGCAUGUGGUUUAAUUCGAAGCAACGCGAAGAACCUUACCAGGUCUUGACAUCCUCUGACACUCCUAGAGAUAGGAUUUCCCUUCGGGGACAGAGUGACAGGUGGUGCAUGGUUGU